UUUGGGGUUUCAUAAAACCCUAAGGUCUUAAUCUCUCAGAUCUUGGAUUCCCUUACGUUUUGAGAGAAAUUGUCUCAAUUAAAUCAUUUUCCUCAUCCUCCUUGACAUUUCUACCAUAUUGUUUUUGACCAAAACACCCCAAGCCUUCAAAUUUCAUAAAUUUCGAAAAUCAGUCACAAACCUAAACGCACAAAAAUGACUACUAACUGGGGUUCAGGCGGCUCUACUGGUGUCGAGACAUCUUCAGCAUCAAACGGGAGUUCUUUUUUGCGAAAAUUUCACUCAUCCAUUGCACACUUAAAAAUUCAAUGACAAUUUCGCCGAACGAAAGGUAAUGCCCGAGUGUAUAAUUGACUUUGAUUAUUUAAAGUCCAUUGAUUUCCCAUAUCUUGCAAACUUUGAAUGUUUAGGGUGGACACAUUACUUACAAUUAAAUAGGAAAUACUAUGAGAAUUGAGUUUAGAUCUUUUACUUCAAUGCAACACAAAAAUAUGCUGAGUCGAAACCAGGUGACCUAGUGAACCAUGACGAUAAGUUUGUCACUCACGUGAUAGGACAACGAAUCCUUGUUGCUCAUGCCUUGAUAGAAUGAGUCAUUCACCUUACGUCCUUCCAAGAACUCCACUAUGUCUUUGAUAAUGGUAACCUUCGAUCAAUGUUUAUCUAUCCUCUGCCAAAUGACAAAGGCAAUUCUAGUUACACAAAGCUAUCUUUCUUUGAUCGAGUCUUGCAUUUCAUCAUCACUCACACUAUUCAUCCUCACAGCUCUAACUACUCCACUGUCACCCAAGAGGACCUUUGGUUCUUAUUUCACAUCAAAUACAACUGUCGUAUUGACGUUGGUAAAUUCAUCAUGGAUGACAUGCUCCACACCAUUCAAGGGGGCAUCAAAAACCUUUUUUUACGGCAUGUUGAUCAAUGAGAUCAUAAACUACUUCAAAGUUGACACCUGUUGUGAUCUACCCAAAAACCAUGCUUUAUUCAAUUUUAUCGAUGAGCAUAGUAUUAAAAAGCUAGGUUUUGAGUUAAAAAACAACACUUGGGUGAAGAAAAGGUUAAUUAAUAAUUCAGUAUUCAAUGACAAGGGGAAUAAGGGUGAGCCAAGUACAUAUCCUAAUGGCCUAUCUAGUGCUCAUCGUAGUGCACCUAUGUCCACCACAUUCAAUGUUAGGCAAGCCUUCACUAGACUCAUCUCAUUUGUGGAAACAAUGGACUCUAGGUUGACUGCUCGUAUGAUUGUGAUAGAGGCAUAAAAUCAUGAGAUGUUGCAGCGCCAAAACAACUUAGAGGAUUAGUUUUACCCUCAAUUUCCACCACCAUCGUGUGUUCUCACUAAAGUCAUCUGUUCUACUCAGUUUUUGGACUAUUCAAUUCAAUGGCUACAUGUGCAUCAAAAUUUGGAUGUAUUUACAUAUUUUUUAUAUGAAUCUUCAACUACAUGUUUGUUGUUUCUAUGUUUUUGGAUGUAUUUACAUGAUGCUUCAAACUGUUGGCUGUAUACGUGGAUGUUGCUUUAGAUAUAUUUACAUGGUUCAUGCUUUACUACUCUUCAAUUGCUAGUUGUAGGGUUUAUUUUUCUGUUGCUCUGGAAAGUUGUUGCUUGUAAUGGGCUUGUUUAAUGUGAGUAAGUUUCUUGGAUGGAGGCUUUCUGGUUUUGUUGUGAAUUCAUUAUUAAUGGUCUUAAGAUUGAUCUGGGACAAAGACUGAAUGUUCAUUGCUAAAUUUGGAUGAAUGAUGAUUGUGCCUCUUUGUUUGCUGCUACACAAGAUCAAUCCCCUGAAAUCUAAAAACAAAAUGGGAUGUAGAGAUUUUGUUUUUUAACUUAUGGUUUUGGUUAUAGUCAUGUACAGGGCUUUUUUUGGCUAGUUUUCGAUCAUUGUAAAAGGAUGGUUUAAUGAGAAUGGAAGGGCGGCUCCUUUGUUUUGUUUUUGUUUUGAUCUAGG
rnacentral:lncRNA from 1 species